GAUGAACGCUGGCGGCGUGCCUAAUACAUGCAAGUCGAGCGAACAGACGAGGAGCUUGCUCCUCUGACGUUAGCGGCGGACGGGUGAGUAACACGUGGAUAACCUACCUAUAAGACUGGGAUAACUUCGGGAAACCGGAGCUAAUACCGGAUAAUAUAUUGAACCGCAUGGUUCAAUAGUGAAAGACGGUUUUGCUGUCACUUAUAGAUGGAUCCGCGCCGCAUUAGUUAGUUGGUAAGGUAACGGCUUACCAAGGCAACGAUGCGUAGCCGACCUGAGAGGGUGAUCGGCCACACUGGAACUGAGACACGGUCCAGACUCCUACGGGAGGCAGCAGUAGGGAAUCUUCCGCAAAGGGCGAAAGCUUGACGGAGCAACGCCGCGUGAGUGAUGAAGGUCUUCGGAUCGUAAAACUCUGUUAUUAGGGAAGAACAAAUGUGUAAGUAACUAUGCACGUCUUGACGGUACCUAAUCAGAAAGCCACGGCUAACUACGUG
rnacentral:rRNA from 1 species